rnacentral:rRNA from 1 species
CGACCCCAGGUCAGACGGGACUACCCGCUGAGUUUAAGCAUAUAAAUAAGCGGAGGAGAAGAAACUUAC